AUGAAUAGCUGUAAUCGCGUGCAGUAGGUUAACUUGCAUCUUGCAGUCGCUAUUCAUACUGCAAGUGAUGCCUAUCCAGAGUUUGGAUAAGGCAACAGCAAAGGAACAUUUACUUCUUCCUCCCGAGUUCCCCCAAACUCCUUCCUUCUUCCGAUCUCCCACCGUCGCCUGGGCGCCUGGCGGUUUGCUCCACUCCAUAGGCGGCCAUCGUCUUCUCAACCAGAAAGCUUCUGGCUGUACAGCUUGGCGGGAUACAAGACGACGGUCUGCCGUCGGCGAUCCGCAGUCGCCGGAGCUGAAGGUGGAAGCGGCCAACACGGCAGUCCGUGCAGCCGUGAAAAGAUGCGCAGAAGUGCCGAUAUCUGCUAGGCCGGGAAAGAUGAUGCGGAUUGCUAUUAAGUCUUGGUCAAGGUUCUUGCCCCCUUACAUCCCUGACGAUGUGAUCUUCGACAUUCUGUUACGGCUGCCAUCCAAAUCUCUUAUCCGAUUUAAGUCCGUGUGUAAGGCUUGGCACGCCAUAAUAUCCAACCCCUGUUUCAUCAGUGCUCACCUCGAGUGCUCUAAGCAGAAGCCAUCGAUAUUUAUGGUCCCUGGUGUUUACGAGAAGCAGAAUAAUGGCGAGAAUACUUCCUUCCUGAUGGGCCUCUAUCAGUAUCAGGGUGGUAAUAUAAUGGAACAAAUCCAUGUACAAGACUUUCCACAAGGCAUUGGUACAUGGAGUCGUCCGAUCCACUGCAAUGGCAUGCUCCUCAUUUCCACCAUGAACCACGAAAUGAUUGUCUGCAACCCAUCAACUAGAGAGAUUGUCUCCCUGCCAAAAGGGAGUUAUAACCUUCAUGCGGGCCCAAGGGCUGGAUUUGGGUUUGACCCUCACAGCAACAAGUAUAAGGUGGCUAGAUUUUUCUACCAGAGGGACGAUGACACAUCAGAAUUGGUCUGCAAGUUUGAAGUGCUUACUCUAGGCACUAAUUUGUGGAGGCAAACUGAGGAUCCGCCAUAUCCAAUUAGUGGGUUAACUCCUGUUCAUGUGAAAGGCGCCAUCUACUGGAUGGUUAAUACGCCACUUUGCCCUGAUCCACCCAAUGCAUUUCUUAGGUUCUGUUUGACUAACGAGAAGUUUAGUCUGCUUCAGUAUCCUCCAUGUAAUCUAAAGCCUACCCGUUUCAUAGAAGUGGAGGGUGAACUAUGCUGUGCUUGCUUUUGCAGUCAGGUGAGCGCGUUGAAGAUCUGGACCUGCAAUUAUGCACAGAACCCUGAAUGGACUCAGCGCUGCACUGUACAGAUUCCACCUGAUAUAGUUGUGAAUAAUCCUGUAGCAAGGCCUCCUAUAGUUUUUCUUCAUGGAAAAAAGCUGCUACUGACAUGGAAUCAGGUCUACCAGUAUGACAUUCAAACCUGUAGAAUGGAAAAGAUAGCUUCAGGGGUUGAAGACUUCACGUGCUAUGAUCCAAGGAACAAUAAGUACUGGGCAUAUCUGGAGAAAGAAGUAACGGAUAUGCAUCUAUUUAAUUAUGCUGAGAGUCUAGUUCCGAUUAGAGAAUUUUGAGAAGUCACUUCAUUUUUUGUUAAGAUGUGGAGCCUUGCAUUUCAGGCCCAAAGAGUCCUCAUGACCGUGUCCCUUUGAAGGAAAUGAAAUCAGAUUGGCAUGCUUGCCUGGACAGCAAUUUCAAGGUAACUAAGGAUAACCUUUGCAUUAUAAAGUUUAAAAUGUAGUGGCAUUGCUCAUCAAAAUACACCCCAAAAAACACACUAGGGUUUUGCAGUCCCAACGGAGUACCAUGAUAAAGUUGUGAAAUUUUACUUUCAAGGACAACCUGCUGAAAUCAAACAGUGUUGUUCUUGCAGCAAUAUGCAGUUACACAAACACAUCAAAUCCCAGCGUUAUAAUUGGUGCUGGCCUAGUCGCAAAGAAAGCCUGUGAAUUGGGCCUUGAGGUUUGCAUGUUCGUUCAUAUAUGUAACUAGUGUAUUGUGUCGUGUGUUUGUGCGACUAUAACCUCCCUCUCUGUAAAUAUGUAUAAUAAUUAACUUAAUUUGUUAAUAACAUUUAAUAAUUUAAAUUAGUAUUUCCUCCUUUUAUAAGAUAAUUUGUUUAUUCUUCACUUGAAUUUGAAUAGAUGUUCAGAGAACAUAUUUAGCAGGAAAUCUAGUAUGUAUUUUUUUAAUUUUACAAAAAAGACCAUUUAUUUAAAUAAGUUGUAUUGAAAUGUCAACUGUACAAUUUUUUUAGCAAGUUUUCUGUUAGUUGCUAGAAUUAAAAUUAAUUAUAUGAUUAUACUUUUAAACUGGUCUCGAUUUUUAGUUCUUUAUGGUCAGAAUGUUAAUUUACAAUGGUUUAAAUUAUCGGUUGCGGCUGGUGGUGAACUGCCACUGUUUCUCGGACUUCUCUCUUCACAGGAAGUGGUUAUUGCCUUUCGGCCACAUAUUUGCCAACAAUAAAUUCUUUUAUGAAGAAUUUAGUAUGUACAAUCUCAUGCAUCGGGGUAAAACUUUUCCAGGUUAUAAAUUUACAACCACUAAAAUAUAGAUAAAAAUGGGCAUGCACCUAAAUCAACCAAACAGUUCAUACCAGAAAUAAAAAUUAAGGAACCUAACUAAUUGCAUUAAUCAUUGACGGAAGAUGCAGAUUUCAGAAAUGCCAAGCUCUUUCAUUUGGUUGUGAUGCAAUCCAGGAAGAACUAUUAAACAUUAGAAAUAAUCCAUUGCAAUAUAGGAAAUUCGUGUUUACUGGCGAACUUCUACUGCUUGGUAUAAUUCCAAAUUAAUUUGGUUGCUAUGGACCCGUCAGAACAGUUUUUCGUCGGAUUCCAGAUUUUAUGGAUACUGGAGGUCUACAAUUGCUUAUUAAUUAGCUCGAUAGAAUCAACCACUACAAUCUGCACAUAGAGGGUGUGAGCUUCCAUGUUAAGUGCUUUACAUAGGCUGAUUUAAAAACACUUGUAAUGGAACUUAUGCAGCUGUUGCUGUCAUUAGAUGAUCCUUAACACUUUUAGCUUCCAGAAUGAAAAGGAUUAAGUAUUUAAACUAUGGAUGAGGGCUUCAUAACCUGUAUGACAACAGUGGAUUUCCACUAAGAUGCAUGCCUACAUUCAAAAUCUGAGUUAGAAAAGAAAAUUUAGCAAUUUGAUACAUAAUACAUACCCUUGGAUUAGGAUAUUCUUAUGAGUACUUUACCAUAUUCACUAAACUCCAGGAACACUUCAUAUUUAAGAAAAUGCAGUAUGAGAUAUGUAAGUGCAAUCAGCUACUGUGCCUUUUGUCACAGGACCUUCUAGGUGCACACAAUUAGUACCAGUGUGCUCAUGCUGCAGAUUGCUAUGAAUGCUAAUUGGAUUAACACCAUGAGUUCAUAAGUAAUAAACCGUUUGCAGUGGCAUUAAUCUUUUGUUAUGUAUUAAUCUUUUUUGUAGUAAACUUUUCUGAUUUUUUUAAACUCCUAGAGUAAGGGCAUGAUUUCGGCUUACUCUUUCUGUUGUCGGGGAAUAUUAUUUUUGUGCAUAAAAAUUGUUAAUUAACUGAUUAUAUAACACAAUGGUGAAAUCAAUCAUUCAAUGGUGAAAUCGUUGAAAUAAGCAGAAAACAUGACUGGUGCUGAAAAUGGAAGUAGUACUUUCAUGAUGAAAAUGAGGCAAUGCUUUGAGGUUGCACUUUGCAUGCUGCCUUAUGCUUGAAUGGUUAGCCUCACGCCUCAUGCUAGUGGUUAGCGAUUGCCAAUUCUUAUAUACAUAUCUGAAAUACAUUCAUUAUUCUUUACUGUUAAAAUGUAUAUAAUGAUCUAAGAGAAUUUUGUGA